GAUGAACGCUGGCGGCGUGCUUAACACAUGCAAGUCGAACGGAAAGGCUCCUGCUUGCAGGGGUACUCGAGUGGCGAACGGGUGAGUAACACGUGGGUGAUUUGCCCUGCACUUCGGGAUAAGCCUGGGAAACUGGGUCUAAUACCGGAUAGGACGAUGGUUUGGAUGCCAUUGUGGAAAGUUUUUUCGGUGUGGGAUGAGCUCGCGGCCUAUCAGCUUGUUGGUGGGGUAAUGGCCUACCAAGGCGUCGACGGGUAGCCGGCCUGAGAGGGUGUACGGCCACAUUGGGACUGAGAUACGGCCCAGACUCCUGCGGGAGGCAGCAGUGGGGAAUAUUGCACAAUGGGCGCAAGCCUGAUGCAGCGACGCCGCGUGGGGGAUGACGGCCUUCGGGUUGUAAACUCCUUUCGCUAGGGACGAAGCGCAAGUGACGGUACCUGGAGAAGAAGCACCGGCUAACUACGUG
rnacentral:rRNA from 1 species